rnacentral:rRNA from 1 species
AAUCUUAUAAAUUUGAUUUAGAUUGAUUCUGUCUUUGGUUAAUUGGUUAAUUGGUUGAUAUUAAAUAUAAAUUUUUGUGGGGUUUAUUAUUUUAUCUUAAAGAUGAAUAGUAUAUUGUUAAUUGUAGUUUUUUAUUUUAAA